rnacentral:rRNA from 1 species
UACAGAGGUCUCAAGCGUUGUUCGGAAUCACUGGGCGUAAAGGGAGCGUAGGCGGGCUCUUAAGUUAGGUGUUUAAUCCCGGGGCCCAACCCCGGACAGGCACCUAAAACUGGGAGUCUUGAAUAGUGGAGAGGACGGCGGAAUUGGGGGUGUAGCGGUGGAAUGCGUAGAGAUCCCCAAGAACACCAGUUGCGAAGGCGGCCGUCUGGACACAUAUUGACGCUGAGGCUCGAAAGCAUGGGGAGCAAACAGG